GUUGGGCAUUCAUGCAAUACUACUAUCAGUUGCAAGUUACUUCCAGUGUGAUGCAGCAAUUCACUCAGUACAGAGCUUCUACUGAUCAUUCCUAGUCUUCACAGUAUGUCUGAAUUUGAUUAUUAUUCAGGCAAGUGUCUGUUUUGUAAAGAAAAAACAGAAGUUCGAAAAGUUAAAAUAUUUGAAUGCUACAAGUUUCAUGAAUUCUGUGUCUCUUGUCUUAAUUCAUCACUACUAGAAUUCUGUCCAAUUCAUGAGCUGUCAGCUAGAACACCCAGCAGCAAAAGAUAACCAUUAGAAACUUAUUGUCAGAAAUUUUAUAACAAUCUAUAAUAUAUGUAUAAUACUAUAGUGAUUUACAAUAUUCAUUUUGGAUUAUCAUAGUUAUAAAAGAAUUGUUUAUUAAUCUG